UGGGGUUUGGCUCAUUGGUAAAGUGCUCGCCUCACACGUGAGAGACCCAGGGUUCAAUCCUCAGAACCACAU
rfam:Ictidomys tridecemlineatus contig051302, whole genome shotgun sequence.